UACGUAGGGUGCAAGCGUUAAUCGGAAUUACUGGGCGUAAAGCGUGCGCAGGCGGUUAUGCAAGACAGAUGUGAAAUCCCCGGGCUCAACCUGGGAACUGCAUUUGUGACUGCAUGGCUGGAGUGCGGCAGAGGGGGAUGGAAUUCCGCGUGUAGCAGUGAAAUGCGUAGAUAUGCGGAGGAACACCGAUGGCGAAAGCAGCGUGCUGGACCUUUUCUGACGCUGAGGCGCGAAAGCCAGGGGAGCAAACGGG
rnacentral:rRNA from 1 species